CACGUAAGUUGCGGGCGUUGUUCGGAAUUAUUGGGCGUAAAGGGCGUGUAGGCGGUAAUGCAAGUCUGGUGUGAAAUGCCGGGGCUCAACCCCGGAACUGCGUUGGAAACUGCAUUACUUGAGUCACUGAGGGGCAGCCAGAAAUCCAGGUGUAGGGGUGAAAUCUGUAGAUAUCUGGAAGAAUACCAAUGGCGAAGGCAGGCUGCCAGCAGAUGACUGACGCUGAGGUGCGAAGGUGCGGGGAGCAAAC
rnacentral:rRNA from 1 species